rnacentral:rRNA from 1 species
UCCAUGGAGAGUUUGAUCCUAGCUCAGGAUGAACGCUGGCGGCGUGCCUAACACAUGCAAGUCGAACGGACCCCUUCGCGAUUCUUCGGAUGAGCGAGGAGGUCAGUGGCGAACGGGUGAGUAACACGUAGGUGACCUGCCCCGAAGUGGGGAAUAACCCCUCGAAAGGGGGGCUAAUACCGCAUGUGCUCCGUGAAGUUAGAGGGUCACGGAGUAAAGCUCCGGCGCUUCGGGAGGGGCCUGCGGCCGAUUAGCUAGUUGGUGGGGUAAUGGCUCACCAAGGCGAUGAUCGGUAGCUGGUCUGAGAGGACGAUCAGCCACACUGGCACUGAGAUACGGGCCAGACUCCUACGGGAGGCAGCAGUGAGGAAUAUUGCGCAAUGGGCGAAAGCCUGACGCAG